rnacentral:lncRNA from 1 species
CCACAUUCUCGUUAUCGCCUGGCUCUGUGCAGGCGGUGGAGGGACCAGAGCCCAGCUGAACGGACAGACUGACCGGGAGGAGUUGGGCCAUGAAGCCUUGAACGCACGAACUCCAAAGCCUGAAUCAGACCAGGAAUAUACACAUUUCUUGUGAGAAGUCUGCUAAUAUUCCGGCCAAGCCCAGCCUCAAUGGGGCAGGAAAGUUACCUUCAGAC